CGGGUGAGUAAUGUAUGGGGAUCUGCCUGAUGGCGGGGGAUAACUACUGGAAACGGUAGCUAAUACCGCAUAAUGUCUACGGACCAAAGCGGGGGACCUCCGGGCCUCGCGCCAUCAGAUGAACCCAUAUGGGAUUAGCUAGUAGGUGAGGUAACGGCUCACCUAGGCGACGAUCCCUAGCUGGUCUGAGAGGAUGACCAGCCACACUGGAACUGAGACACGGUCCAG
rnacentral:rRNA from 1 species